rnacentral:rRNA from 1 species
UAAUACGGGGGGAGCAAGCGUUAUUCGGAUUUAUUGGGCGUAAAGGGUUCGUAGGCGGUCAGGUAAGUCAGAGGUGAAAUCUAACGGCUCAACCGUUAAAUUGCCCUUGAAACUGCCUGACUUGAGUACGGGAUAGGAAAGCGGAAUUCUCGGUGUAGCGGUGAAAUGCGUGGAUAUCGAGAGGAACACCAGUGGCGAAAGCGGCUUUCUGGCCCGAUACUGACGCUGAGGAACGAAAGCCAGGGGAGCGAACGGGAUUAGAUACCCCGGUAGUCCUGGCCGUAAACGAUGGGCACUAGGUGUGGGAGGUAUCGACCCCUUCCGUGCCGCAGCUAACGCAUUAAGUGCCCCGCCUGGGGAGUACGAUCGCAAGGUUG